GAUGAACGCUAGCGGCAGGCUUAACACAUGCAAGUCGAGGGGCAGCGCGGGAUAGCAAUAUCCUGGCUGCGACCGGCGGAAGGGUGCGUAACGCGUGAGCGACAUGCCCGUUGCCCGGGGACAACCGGUGGAAACGCCGACUAAUCCCCGAUGGGAUACGAUGCUUCAUGGCCUUGUAUUGAAAGUUACGGCGGCGACGGAUUGGCUCGCGUCCGAUUAGCUGGGUGGCGGGGUAACGGCCCACCAAGGCUGCGAUCGGUAGGGGUUCUGAGAGGAAGGCCCCCCACGAUGGGACUGAGACACGGCCCAUACUCCUACGGGAGGCAGCAGUGAUGAGUAUUGGUCAAUGGGCGGAAGCCUGAACCAGCCAUGCCGCGUGCGGGAAGGGGGACCUAUGGGCUGUGAACCGCUUUUGCCUGGGGGCAAUAAGGGCGUCGCGCACGUCCGAUGAGAGUACCAGGCGAAUAAGCAUCGGCUAACUCCGUG
rnacentral:rRNA from 1 species